CGAUGUGAGGGCCAUCUGCCUGCGACACCUGUCACCACACUGAUCUCUGUCACCACACUGAUCUCCAGCCUUGAGUCAGCCCAUGUGCCUGCCCAAGCCCAGGUCCCCUUCCUCACCCAGCGCUCCAUAUGCAUCCCUCCCAAAGCUGCUGGGGCACAGAGGACGACCUCUCCGAUACAGAUUGUACAUUUUAUCACUCAAGGCUAUUUGGUAGCUGCGCUCCCUGCCACAACCUUCAAACCCAACCAUGUUCCAUUCCUCCAUAGGAGGGCUUUCCCGGUAGUCAGACAUAAAAUUUUACGAAAAACAGGAUUUUACGCGUCCCAUGAAAUGGGAGGCAUUCAUG
ensembl:misc_RNA 7SK 7SK RNA